GAUGAACGCUAGCGGCAGGCUUAACACAUGCAAGUCGAGGGGUAGCAGGGAGCUUGCUCCGCUGACGACCGGCGAACGGGUGCGUAACGCGUAUAGAAUCUACCUCUUACUAAGGGAUAGCCCAGAGAAAUUUGGAUUAAUAUCUUAUAGUAUAUAGACUUGGCAUCAAGAUUAUAUUAAAGGUUACGGUAAGAGAUGACUAUGCGUCCUAUUAGCUAGAUGGUGUGGUAACGGCACACCAUGGCGACGAUAGGUAGGGGCCCUGAGAGGGGGAUCCCCCACACUGGUACUGAGACACGGACCAG
rnacentral:rRNA from 1 species